UACGUAGGGGGCUAGCGUUGUCCGGAAUCAUUGGGCGUAAAGAGCGUGUAGGUGGCUUGGUAAGUCCGCUGUGAAAGUCCAGGGCUCAACCCUGGAAUGCCAGUGGAAACUGUCAAGCUAGAGUCCGGAAGAGGCGAGUGGAAUUCCUGGUGUAGCGGUGAAAUGCGCAGAUAUCAGGAGGAACACCAAUGGCGAAGGCAGCUCGCUGGGACGGUACUGACACUGAGACGCGAAAGCGUGGGAGCAAACAGG
rnacentral:rRNA from 1 species